rnacentral:lncRNA from 1 species
GACCUUAGCCUUAUGUGGACAACUUCAGGAUCUGACACCAGUCGGUUUCGUUGGAAACGAUACCGACAAACAGGUGGGUUUGCCUUGUGGGUAUUAAUGUGGGGAUGCCAGGAGGAGCUAUAUAAUAUUUUACAGGCCUUAGCCUUAUGUGGACAACGUCAGGAUCUGACACCAGUCGGUUUCGUUGGAAACAAUACCGACAAACAGCGAGUUUGCCUUGCGGAUAUUAAUGUGGGUUAAAGUUGUGAGUAAAGAUGGAGAGAUGCUCAAAGACACAACGAUUAACAGCUCGUAUAGUAAAGACCUAGGAUCUUUAUUCGUGAGAGAGAGAGAGAGAUACAUAACCCAAAUAGGAAGGAUAAAUACCUUAUUCACAGAUGUCUCUUGAUAGAUCUUGAAGUAGCACACAGAUUUAACAAACAAAAACGCGUAACAAUGUUUAGUUAUAGUUCAAAGUUCUCAAUGAAAUCUUCGCCCACGCAGGGUCCUAUUUAUAC